rnacentral:rRNA from 1 species
UACGUAGGUGGCAAGCGUUGUCCGGAAUUAUUGGGCGUAAAGCGCGCGCAGGCGGUCCUUUAAGUCUGAUGUGAAAGCCCACGGCUCAACCGCGGAGGGUCAUUGGAAACUGUGGGACUUGAGUGCAGGAGAGAAGAGUGGAAUUCCAAGUGUAGCGGUGAAAUGCGUAGAGAUUUGGAGGAACACCAGUGGCGAAGGCGGUUCUCUGGGCCUUACCUGACGCUGAGGAGCGAAAGCGUGGGGAGCGAACAGG